rnacentral:rRNA from 1 species
UACGGGGGGAGCAAGCGUUGUUCGGAUUUACUGGGCGUAAAGGGCGCGUAGGCGGCGCGACAAGUCACUUGUGAAAUCUCUGAGCUCAACUCAGAACGGUCAAGUGAUACUGUCGUGCUAGAGUGCGGAAGGGGCAACUGGAAUUCUUGGUGUAGCGGUGAAAUGCGUAGAUAUCAAGAGGAACACCUGCGGCGAAGGCGGGUUGCUGGGCCGACACUGACGCUGAGGCGCGAAAGCGUGGGGAGCAAACAGG